AGGACGAACGCUGGCGGCAUGCCUAACACAUGCAAGUCGAACGGGGGUAGACAAUACCCUAGUGGCGAACGGGUGAGUAACACAUAAGCAAUCUGCCCUUCACAGGGGGAUAACAGCGGGAAACUGCUGCUAAUACCGCAUAAGACCACAGUACCGCAUGGUACAGGGGUAAAAACGAAUCAGUGGUGAAGGAUGAGCUUAUGUCCCAUUAGCUAGUUGGUGAGAUAACAGCCCACCAAGGCGACGAUGGGUAGCCGACCUGAGAGGGUGAUCGGCCACACUGGAACUGAGACACGGUCCAGACUCCUACGGGAGGCAGCAGUGGGGAAUAUUGGGCAAUGGAGGAAACUUCCUUACCCAGCAAUGCCGCGUGAGUGAAGAAGGUCUUCGGACUGUAAAGCUCUUUGAUUGGGGACGAAGAAAGUGACGGUACCCAAAGAACAAGCCCCGGCUAACUACGUGCCAGCAGCUGC
rnacentral:rRNA from 1 species